rnacentral:rRNA from 1 species
AGAAUGAACGUUGGCGGCGUGGAUUAGGCAUGCAAGUCGAGCGCCCCGCAAGGGGAGCGGCGCAAGGGUGAGUAAGGCGACGGUAACCAACCCCACAAAUGGGCAUAGCCGAGGGAAACUUCGGGUAAUUCCCAGCGAAGUCGCGGAAGGGCAUCCUUCUGCGACCAAAGUUCCGACGUUGUGGGACGGGCCGUCGUGGUAUUAGCUUGUUGGCGGGGUGACGGCCCACCAAGGCUACGAUGCCUACCGGGCGUGCGAGCGUGGCCCGGCACACUGGGACUGAGACACUGCCCAGACUCUUACGGGAGGCUGCAGUCGAGAAUCUUCGGCAAUGGGCGCAAGCCUGACCGAGCGACGCCGCGUGGAGGACGAAGGCCUUCGGGUUGUAAACUCCUGGUCGAGGGGGAGAAGGCGUAAGCUUGACCGAUCCCGUGGAGGAAGCGACGGGCUAAGUUCGCGCCAGCAGCCGC